UCUACGGGAGGCAGCAGUGAGGAAUAUUGGUCAAUGGGCGAGAGCCUGAACCAGCCAAGUCGCGUGAAGGAUGACGGCCCUACGGGUUGUAAACUUCUUUUGUCAGGGAGCAAUUGAGUCAACGUGUGGGCUUAGCGAGAGUACCUGAAGAAAAAGCAUAGGAUAACGCCGUGCCAGCAGCGGAGGUAAUAAGGAGGAUGCGAGCGUUAUCCGGAUUUUUUGGGUUUAAAGGGUGCGUAGGCGGAAUAUCAAGUAAGGUGUAAAAAUUCGGGGCUAAACCCCAUCGUGCAGUUGAAACUGAUGUUCUUGAGUGGGCGAGAAGUAUGCGGAAUGCGUGGUGUAGCGGUGAAAUGCAUAGAUAUCACGCGGAACUCCGAUUGCGAAGGCAGCAUACCGGCGCCCAACUGACGCUGAAGCACGAAAGCGUGGGUAUCGAACAGGAUUAGAUACCCGUGUAGUC
rnacentral:rRNA from 1 species